GACGAACGCUGGCGGCGUGCUUAACACAUGCAAGUCGAACGAAAAGAGGGAAAGAGCUUGCUCUUUCCGGAAUUGAGUGGCAAACGGGUGAGUAACACGUAAACAACCUGCCUUCAGGAUGGGGACAACAGACGGAAACGACUGCUAAUACCGAAUAAGUUCCAAGAGCCGCAUGGCCCAUGGAAGAAAAGGUGGCCUCUACCUGUAAGCUAUCGCCUGAAGAGGGGUUUGCGUCUGAUUAGCUGGUUGGAGGGGUAACGGCCCACCAAGGCGACGAUCAGUAGCCGGUCGGAGAGGAUGAACGGCCCCACUGGAACUGAGACACGGUCCAGACUACUACGGGAGGCAGCAGUGGGGAAUCUUCCGCAAUGGGCGAAAGCCUGACGGAGCAACGCCGCGGGAGUGAUGACGGCCUUCGGGUUGUAAAACUCUGUGAUCCGGGACGAAAAGGCAGAGUGCGAAGAACAAACUGCAUUGACGGUACCGGAAAAGCAAGCCACGGCUAACUACGUG
rnacentral:rRNA from 1 species